GACGAACGCUGGCGGCGUGCCUAACACAUGCAAGUCGAGCGGGGUCCAUCCAGUGGCAACACUGGGGAAGACCUAGCGGCGAACGGGUGAGUAACACGUGAGGAACUUGCCCCGGAGUACGGGAUAACUCGAGGAAACUCGAGCUAAUACCGUAUGCCCUCUUCUGGUCGCAUGGCCGGAUGAGGAAAGAUUUAUCGCUCCGGGAGAGCCGCGCGGCCUAUCAGGUAGUUUGUGGGGUAACGGCCCACCAAGCCAUCGACGGGUAGCUGGUCUGAGAGGACGAUCAGCCACACUGGGACUGAGACACGGCCCAGACUCCUACGGGAUGCAGCAGUGGGGAAUCUUGCGCAAUGGGCGAAAGCCUGACGCGGCAACGCCGCGUGCGAAAUGAAGGCCUUCGGGUUGUAAACCGCUUUCAGCAGGGAAGAGAUUGACGGUACCUGCAGAAGAAGCCCCGGCCAACUACGUGCCAGCCGCCGCGGUAACAC
rnacentral:rRNA from 1 species